GACGAACGCUGGCGGCGUGCUUAACACAUGCAAGUCGAACGGAAAGUCCCUGCUUUUGUGCGGUGCUCUAGGUGCGAACGGGUGAGUAACACUUGGGUAACCUACCCUUGACUUUGGGAGAACUUCAUGAAACUUGGUCUCAUAGCGGCUAGGAUCUCCUGCUUCAUGGUGGGGGUGGGUUAGUUUCGGCGGUUGGUGAUGGACUCGCGGCUUAUCAGCUUGUUGGUGGGGUAGUGGCUUACCAUGGCUUUGACGGGUAGCCGGCCUGAGAGGGUGACCGGCCACACUGGGACUGAGAUACGGCACAGACUACUCCGGGAGGCAGCAGUGGGGAAUAUUGCACAAUGGGCUGAAGCAAGACGCAGCCAAGCAGCGUGCGGGAUGACGGCAUUCGGGUUGUAAACCGAUUUCGCCUGUGACGAAGCGUGAGUGACAGUAAUGGGUAAAGAAGCACCGGCUAACUACGUG
rnacentral:rRNA from 1 species